UUAGAGAAAUGCAUUGGAGUGCACUGUCCAGAUUCUGCAAAAAAGAGGUUGAAAAGUGCUUGUAAGACAAGAUGGGUUAAUCGUAUUACUAGGUUAGAUACUUUUGAAGAACUGUAUGUUGCCAUUGUUUUUUCCUUGGAAGAAAUGAGUUUUAACGUUGAAGGCAAGUGUAAUCGUGAGACCUCUAGUAAAGCUUCCCCUCUGCUACAUCUGUUGACAUCUUUUGAUUUUAUUGCAGCACUCGUAAUAACUAGAUGUAUUUUUGAUCUUACUCUUCCAGUUACUCAGUAACUUCAGUGUUCUACUAAUGAUAUUGCUGACGGUUUGAACUUGAUUGAGGCAUUAUAAAAAUUGUCGAGAACUGUAAGAAAUGAAGUCGAUGUUUAUCAUGCUAACUGGUACAGUAUUGCAUUGAUGAUGGCAGAAAAGAUGAUCACUUGUGUUCUGAGUUAGAAAAAAGGAUGAUCUUCCAAAUCCAAUGGCUUUAGGCUGUGAACUUGAUCUCUUGCAAAAAUACUGGGAAUCGUCUUCUACAACGUGUCUUCCUGAAAAUGUCUGUUCUACUUUAAAGUAGGUAAAUUUUCCAGGCUUUGAGAACAUAAAAGUAUUGUUAAAGAUCUUAGGUACUAUUCCAGUCACUUCUUGUGAGUGCGAGAGGUCGUUCUAUGCUUUGCGAAGAUUAAAGAACUAUACAAGAAGUAAUAUGGCUGCUGACAGGUUAAAUGGGCUUGCUUUAUUGCAUAUUCAUCAGGACAUUAAUCCAGAUAUAGAAAAGAUUAUAGAUCUUUUUGCAAAAGACAAAGACAAAAGAAGAAUUAAACCAGCUUUCUAGUUCGGAGUGAAAGUUUUUGAUGCCUUUUUUAACUCUUGACUGUAAAGAUGACUGCCGCUAACCUCAGUCAAUAUAAACACAAACAAUCGUUCUCAGGAGUUUACUUACCUGGACGAUCGACAUCUACAAACAUUUUUUUGCUUUUUUUGUUGACAACUUCAUUUGAUAAAUUGACAUAAAAUCGUUUGCAUAAUAAUCAGCAUAUAGGUAGGACUAGACCAUUAUAAAAUGAAAUUCCAUAUAAAAGUUGAUGAAGCGUAAA